AUGACGCGUCGUCACGGCGACGAGCGAAGAGCUGCAGCACCGCUCAGCGAGAGACGAGCGCUCUCACCCUGUUAUAUACACUCUGUUAUAUACAGUGUGUUUAUAUACAGUGUGUUUAUAUACACUCUGUUAUAUACAGUGUGUUUAUAUACAGUGUGUUUAUAUACACUCUGUUAUAUACAGUGUGUUUAUAUACAGUGUGUUUAUAUACAGUGUGUUUAUAUACAGUGUGUUUAUAUACAGUGUGUUUAUAUACAGUGUGUUUAUAUACACUCUGUUAUAUACAGUGUGUUUAUAUACAGUGUGUUUAUAUACACUCUGUUAUAUACAGUCUGUUUAUAUACAGUGUGUUUAUAUACACUCUGUUAUAUACAGUGUGUUUAUAUACACUCUGUUUAUAUACAGUCUGUUUAUAUACAGUGUGUUUAUAUACACUCUGUUAUAUACAGUGUGUUUAUAUACAGUGUGUUUAUAUACACUCUGUUAUAUACAGUGUGUUUAUAUACACUCUGUUAUAUACACUCUGUUUAUAUACAGUGUGUUUAUAUACACUCUGUUAUAUACAGUGUGUUUAUAUACAGUGUGUUUAUAUACACUCUGUUAUAUACACUCUGUUUAUAUACACUCUGUUUAUAUACAGUCUGUUAUAUACAAUCUGUUAUAUACACUCUGUUUAUAUACACUCUGUUUAUAUACAGUGUGUUUAUAUACACUCUGUUAUAUACACUCUGUUUAUAUACAGUGUGUUUAUAUACACCCUGUUAUAUACAGUCUGUUUAUAUACAGUCUGUUUAUAUACAGUGUGUUUAUAUACACUCUGUUAUAUACAGUCUGUUUAUAUACACUCUGUUAUAUACAGUCUGUUUAUAUACAGUGUGUUUAUAUACACCCUGUUAUAUACACUCUGUUUAUAUACAGUGUGUUUAUAUACAGUGUGUUUAUAUACACCCUGUUAUAUACACUCUGUUUAUAUACAGUGUGUUUAUAUACACCCUGUUAUAUACACUCUGUUUAUAUACAGUGUGUUUAUAUACAGUGUGUUUAUAUACAGUCUGUUUAUAUACACCCUGUUAUAUACACUCUGUUUAUAUACAGUCUGUUUAUAUACAGCGUGUUUAUAUACACUCUGUUAUAUACACAGUGUUUAUAUACACUCUGUUAUAUACAGUCUGUUUAUAUACACUCUGUUUAUAUACACUCUGUUAUAUACAGUCUGUUUAUAUACACUCUGUUAUAUACACUCUGUUAUAUACAGUCUGUUUAUAUACACUCUGUUAUAUACACUCUGUUUAUAUACACUCUGUUUAUAUACAGUGUGUUAUAUACAGUCUGUUUAUAUACACUCUGUUAUAUACACUGUUAUAUACACUCUGUUUAUAUACACUCUGUUAUAUACAGGCUGUUUAUAUACACUCUGUUAUAUACACUGUUAUAUACACUCUGUUAUAUACAAUCUGUUAUAUACAGUCUGUUUAUAUACACCCUGUUAUAUACACUCUGUUUAUAUACAAUCUGUUAUAUACACUCUGUUAUAUACACUCUGUUUAUAUACAGUCUGUUCAUAUACACUCUGUUUAUAUACAGUCUAUGGUCUCACCCUGUUUAUGGUCUCACCGAGUCCUUUCACACGCUGUCUCCAGAUGA
ensembl:lncRNA